rnacentral:rRNA from 1 species
CGGGGGGGAGCCUACCAUGCAAGUCGAACGGAAACAUGUCUAGCUUGCUAGAUGAUGUCGGGUGGCGGACGGGUGAGUAAUACUUAGGAACAUGCCUUUGGGUGGGGGAUAACUAUUGGAAACGAUAGCUAAUACCGCAUAACGUCUACGGACCAAAGGGGGGAGCUUGCUCCUCUCGCCCAAAGAGUGGCCUAAGCGAGAUUAGCUUGUUGGUGAGGUAAAGGCUCACCAAGGCGACGAUCUCUAGCUCUUCUGAGAGGAAGAUCAGCCACACUGGGACUGAGACACGGCCCAGACUCCUACGGGAGGCAGCAGUGGGGAAUAUUGCACAAUGGAGGAAACUCUGAUGCAGCCAUGCCGCGUGUGUGAAGAAGGCCUUCGGGUUGUAAAGCACUUUCAGUUGUGAGGAAAGCUUGGUGGUUAAUACCCAUCAGGUAUGACGUUAGCAACAGAAGAAGGACCGGCUAACUCCGUGCCAGCAGCCGCGGUAAC